UACGUAGGUGGCAAGCGUUGUCCGGAAUUAUUGGGCGUAAAGCGCGCGCAGGCGGUCUCUUAAGUCUGAUGUGAAAUCCCGUGGCUUAACCACGGGCGGUCAUUGGAAACUGGGGGACUUGAGUGCAGAAGAGAAGAGCGGAAUUCCACGUGUAGCGGUGAAAUGCGUAGAGAUGUGGAGGAACACCAGUGGCGAAGGCGGCUCUUUGGUCUGUAACUGACGCUGAGGCGCGAAAGCGUGGGGAGCAAACAGG
rnacentral:rRNA from 1 species